GUGCCAGCAGCCGCGGUAAAACGUAGGUCCCGAGCGUUAUCCGGAUUUACUGGGCGUAAAGCGCGUGCAGGCGGCUCCGCAAGUCGGGCAUGAAACCUCUCGGCUCAACCGAGAGAAGCUGUCCGAUACUGCGGGGCUUGAGGACGGAAGAGGCGGGUGGAAUUCCGCAUGUAGUGGUGAAAUGCGUAGAGAUGCGGAGGAACACCAGUGGCGAAAGCGGCCCGCUGGCCCGCUCCUGACGCUCAGACGCGAAAGCUCGGGGAGCGAACGGGAUUAGAAACCCCGGUAGUCC
rnacentral:rRNA from 1 species